rnacentral:rRNA from 1 species
UGGGGGAUAUUGCACAAUGGGCGAAAGCCUGAUGCAGCGACGCCGCGUGGGGGAUGAAGGCCUUCGGGUUGUAAACUUCUUUUGCUCUGAACAAGGCGCACCAUGGGGUGUGUUGAGUGUAGGGAUUGAUUAGCGCCGGCUAACUACGUGCCAGCAGCCGCGGUAAUACGUAGGGCGCGAGCGUUGUCCGGAAUUAUUGGGCGUAAAGGGCUUGUAGGUGGCUGGUUGCGUCUGUCGUGAAAGCUCAUGGCUUAACUGUGGGUUUGCGGUGGGUACGGGCUGGCUCGAGUGCAGUAGGGGAGGCUGGAAUUCCUGGUGUAGCGGUGGAAUGCGCAGAUAUCAGGAGGAAUACCGGUGGCGAAGGCGGGUCUCUGGGCUGUUACUGACACUGAGGAGCGAAAGCAUGGGGAGCGAACAGG